rnacentral:rRNA from 1 species
GACGAACGCUGGCGGCGUGCUUAACACAUGCAAGUCGAACGGUGAAGGUGGAGCUUGCUCCGCCGGAUCAGUGGCGAACGGGUGAGUAACACGUGGGCAACCUGCCCCUCACUUCGGGAUAACUCCGGGAAACCGGGACUAAUACCGAAUACGACCUCCUUGGGCAUCCCGGGAGGUGGAAAGUUUUUCGGUGAGGGAUGGGCCCGCGGCCUAUCAGCUUGUUGGUGAGGUAACGGCUCACCAAGGCGACGACGGGUAGCCGGCCUGAGAGGGCGACCGGCCACACUGGGACGGAGACACGGCCCAGACUCCUACGGGAGGCAGCAGUGGGGAAUAUUGCGCAAUGGGCGAAAGCCUGACGCAGCAACGCCGCGUGCGGGAUGAAGGCCUUCGGGUUGUAAGCCGCUUUCAGCAGGGAAGAAGCCGCAAGGUGACGGUACCUGCAGAAGAAGCACCGGCUAACUACGUGCCAGCAGCCGCCGCCG